rnacentral:sRNA from 1 species
AGCACAGCGGAGGGAACAAGUCUCCAGAGGCAGAAGGGUCAGCUAUGCCGAGAACACGUUUGAACUUGAAAAACAUUCGGGGACAGAGAAAACAGAGCUGCAAAAUAAUAUGGUGAUUAAUUGGAUAUGGAAUUUGAAUUGAUGAAGAUAUUUGAAACACCCAAGAAAGAAGGUUUAGUGAGGAGAUGAAAAGAGCAGAUUUGGGAUAAGAUGUUAAUAGAAUAAGUGAAAAUAAGAAUAUCCAGAAGUUAAGACAGGAACCAAAAGAACCAAAGAGGGAACCAUUCAUACUUCAAGAUCUGUAAGAAGAAGUAGCAAUAUUUAAUAUGGAAUCAAAAGCUUGUGAAUCAAGUAAUGAUCUUUUAUCAAGUAGUGGUGUCACAUCUAAUGGAGAGCAAUGAAUUGCAUGAGAAACAAAAGUUUUAUUUGAGGCAGUCAGUCAUUGAUUUGCAAACAAAACUUCAGGAGAUGCAAAUGGAGAGAGAUGCUAUGGCUGACAUCAGACGAAGGGAGAGUCAGUCCCAGGAGGAUUUAAGAAAU